GAUGAACGCUAGCUACAGGCUUAACACAUGCAAGUCGAGGGGCAGCAUUUCAGUUUGCUUGCAAACUGGAGAUGGCGACCGGCGCACGGGUGAGUAACACGUAUCCAACCUGCCGAUAACUCGGGGAUAGCCUUUCGAAAGAAAGAUUAAUACCCGAUAGUAUAAUUAGACCGCAUGGUCUUAUUAUUAAAGAAUUUCGGUUAUCGAUGGGGAUGCGUUCCAUUAGGCAGUUGGUGAGGUAACGGCUCACCAAACCUUCGAUGGAUAGGGGUUCUGAGAGGAAGGUCCCCCACAUUGGAACUGAGACACGGUCCAAACUCCUACGGGAGGCAGCAGUGAGGAAUAUUGGUCAAUGGGCGCAGGCCUGAACCAGCCAAGUAGCGUGAAGGAUGACUGCCCUAUGGGUUGUAAACUUCUUUUAUAUGGGAAUAAAGUUUUCCACGUGUGGAAUUUUGUAUGUACCAUAUGAAUAAGGAUCGGCUAACUCCGUGCCAGCAGCCGCGGUAAUACGGAGGAUCCGAGCGUUAUCCGGAUUUAUUGGGUUUAAAGGGAGCGUAGGUGGACAGUUAAGUCAGUUGUGAAAGUUAGCGGCUCAACCGUAAAAUUGCAGUUGAUACUGGCUGUCUUGAGUACAGUAGAGGUGGGCGGAAUUCGUGGUGUAGCGGUGAAAUGCUUAGAUAUCACGAAGAACUCCGAUUGCGAAGGCAGCUCACUGGACUGCAACUGACACUGAUGCUCGAAAGUGUGGGUAUCAAACAGG
rnacentral:rRNA from 1 species